CUCCACCAUUCCCUGAGCAUUAUGUGCCAAUGCCUGCCCACAGGAUGCAGAGAGACAAUUCCAUCUGCCAUCAUUUCCAAGACCAGACCACAGGGAACAGUGAGAGUGAUAGCCCUGGACAUUUGCUGUGCUGCUCAUCUCCUGUCCAACCUCCACCCAUCCUGUAGGUCUGAAGCCACCAAGGUAAAACCCAGCUUGGCAUUUCUGGGAGGCUGGUGCUAUGGUGAUACCUUCAGCCACAGGAGAGAGGACUCUGUACAGCCCCUUCUUCCUUAUCCCCCAUCCUUAUUCCCUGGGACAUUAUGCCCCAUUCUUAGAGGUGCUCAAGGCCAGGUAAAAAAAAAAAAAAAAGGCUCAGUUCUCUCCUCACUCUGAGCCUGACCAUUCUCCAAGGCUCAUUGCUCCUCCUGUGAAAUAAAGAUCAGGAACGUUUGGAGCAGACUCCUUGUAGAGUACUGCAACAAUGCCUGGUACUGCAGUCAUUAAGUGUCACUACAAUCUUCUAAAGAACAGAGAAUGUACAGGACAUGGUGAGAAGUACAACAUAUCCCCAGUGCAAAAAAGCACACACACAGAUAAUGGGUAAAGAAAGGCAGCUCCAAAGAAUCAUAGAAAAUCCCGAGUUGGAAUGGACCCACAAGAACCACUGAGCCCAACUCUUGGCUCUGCACAGGACCCCCAGAUCUCUUUCCAUGGAGCUGCUCCCCAGCUUCUUUCCUCCCAGUCUGUACAAAUAGCCAGGGCUGCCCCAUCCCAAUUUCAGAAUCCACCACUUCUUGUUAAACUUCAUGCAGUUGGUGAUUGCUCUGAUAGAGCCUCCUAAGAAACAGCAAUCCUAUCAAGCAGCAGUAGCCUAUACAUCAAGAAGAUGUCCAGGCAGGAGGAGAUGCAGCUGAGGCAACGCUCUGUGCCAAAUGCCCAGCAGCCCUCCUGCCACGUCCCUAAAUGCCUGGCCAUCUGCUUCCUGGCCAUCUCUCACACGUCCUGCAGGGGCUUGCCAGGAGAGUUGUCUGGUCUUGUGUGAAGGAGGGCUCUUCCCACCUUCCCAUUUCCCUGCUGGAGAACUGUCUGGGUCUCUGGCCUCACUUCCUGGGUUGGUCUGAUGGAGGUUCCUCUGCCCCCACCAAAGGCAACACAUCUCCCACAUGGGAGGCAAUUAGCGUGACAGUGGGCUUCUCAGUGAGUGAGCUCUUCUCCCCUCUUCUGCCCCUAUCAGCAGGUUUUUGCCUGUCAUAUCCAAAGCAUAAUUGGCUGCAGAGUACCAGAGAAUCAUCUGCUUCAGUCCCACGACCAUUUGCCUCUUGGAGAAGCACUAGUACUUCUUUAGGGCUCUGCUGUUUGCGUGUUUUCAUUCCUGAAACAGAUUGCAAUUUGAUCAUCCAAACAACAAACCAUUCCCUCUCCGAUAUUUUCCUGACGAGGAGCAGAGGAGCAGCAGGCACGAGGCAAAGGAUGGUUGUGGCUGAAACCCACCUGAGACUGCAGCAACCAUAUCUGCGGUGGGAAACGCAGAGUGCCAAGGCAGCCACAAGGCCUGCUGCCAUGCUCUAGCCUCAUACUGGGCAUGAAGGUGUCCUGGCUUCUCAAAGAGGAAUCAGCUUUCAGGGCAUCAGCUCUGUAGUAACCCUUGAGCUCUGCCCGGGUGAGUUUGGGCAGUGCUUGUUGGACCAGACACAAAGUUUAUCCAACACUGCAGGCAGAUGUGUUGCUCACCUCUAAAUUCCCAGAAUAAAUAAUUUUCAUCAGAAUUUAGUGUGCUUUUUUAUUUUUCUUCUUCUUUAUUUUUUUUUUUCCCCAGGAAAUAACUGGUUUCUGGUGAAGCUUUUCCACUUUGUCAUAAGAAAAAGGGGUUUUGGAAUCACGAGGCAGCACAUAAUGCCCAUGAAUCAGGAAUUUAUCAUGUUUGUAAAGUUUAUGGAUUUUGCCAUCUCAAGUGGUUUUUGCUUUCAUUUCUCAAUCUGGGAAAUGCUUACACAGUGGAAAGGUAACUUCAAGGUUGGGUUUUCCCCUCACUGUGGGAAAAUCGUCCCUUGUAGUGGAACUGGCUAAAUCUCACCAAAGAAAAACCCACAGUUCUCUGCACUCUGGUAUCCUCAGAGCAGGCCAUCCAAAAUGCGUGGACAGCUCGAUGCCAAAAUUGUAUGCAAUUAUUCUGACUGAGUGAGAACAAUUGCUCUGGCACAAACCCUCCCCAGAACUUUCCCCAGCACUCCCUACCACCCAUGUGGAAAGCCUUUCUGAUACCUGCAGUUGGCUUUUUCAGAUGGUGUGGGGGAGAGAAAUAAAACUCAAACUGUACAGAAACUGAAGUUGUUUAUAACAUCAGCUUAGGCCACAUAAUAUGGAUCUGAUGAACCUUUCACACACAGCUGAUUUAUUAGGUGGAAGCAUGAAUGAGCUGAGGGUUUAG